UUACCUGAGCUCCUGUGGGACAGGCAUCCCGGCGUCCAGACACGGCUCAGCUGUCCUCUGCCUGGUCGUGUCAGGCUGCAGUCAGGGCCAGCAAGAGAGCCUCUCUCCCCGGUCUGCUCAGAUGGAGUCUCAUAGAAGGCAGCCUAACCAUGGGAGUGACCUCCUGUCACCAACAUACAACGUGACCCAACUGCAGGACUGACAUCCUGUCACCUCUGCCAUAUUGUGGUUUUGAAACAAGUCACAGGUGCCGCCUGCAUUUGGGGAGGGCAGCAGUCUCUGUAAUACCACAGUUGGUCUCUUCCCCCACCUCUGGACUCCCCCGCUCUGCCCUGCAAUUUUUUUCAUAGCACAUUCCAGUCUCUGACAUACUAUGUCAUCUCCUUAUUAGUAUGUUUAUCAGGCACAGGCACGCCUGGGAGGGUGAGGGCAGCGGGGCUCCAGACCGACGCAAUGAGGUGCCACCCAAGAGCUGGUGAAGCAAUAUGUGGGGCUGAGCCUAGUGACGCAUAAUUGUAGAGGCUUCCCUGUGAUCCUAAUGGUCACUCAGGUUUCUGGGGCAGCAGAUGGCAGUGGCGCUCAGCCCAAGCUGUUCAUCUGAAACACUGAAGAGCUUAAGAGACUGCUACCCGGAUCCCACCUCGUGGCAGGGGGGUGUGGACACCUAACAUUGGUAUGAUUUAAAAGUGCCCCUAGAUGAUUCUUCUGGGCAUCCGGGGUCGAGAACCGCUGCUCCAGAGCACAGGUGUGGGGACUCACACAGGGGCUCAGUGAAGCUUCAGACGCAGAGCAAGGAGGAGACCCAAGAGUCAGGCCAUCACGUUUCAUAUUCUUCCAAGAAACAUUGGUUCCUUA